GCAACGUCCGCGGCCUUUGGAUCAGCCACAAUAAUGCUACCCAGAGGUGAAGAGGACGUGGGAAGACCCAAAUGGAUUUCUUUAUUCAUGAAUUAUAUUAUUAUAUUCAUUUUUUUCCUCAUUCUUCGAAGAUUAAG